ACUCCUACGGGAGGCAGCAGUGGGGAAUUUUGGACAAUGGGGGCAACCCUGAUCCAGCCAUGCCGCGUGAGUGAAGAAGGCCUUCGGGUUGUAAAGCUCUUUCGGCCGGAACGAAAUCGCGUACGUGAAUAACGUGCGUGGAUGACGGUACUGGAAGAAGAAGCACCGGCUAACUACGUGCCAGCAGCCGCGGUAAUACGUAGGGUGCGAGCGUUAAUCGGAAUUACUGGGCGUAAAGGGUGCGCAGGCGGUUUUGUAAGUCAGAUGUGAAAGCCCCGGGCUUAACCUGGGAAUUGCGUUUGAAACUACAAGACUAGAGUGUGUCAGAGGGGGGUAGAAUUCCACGUGUAGCAGUGAAAUGCGUAGAGAUGUGGAGGAAUACCGAUGGCGAAGGCAGCCCCCUGGGAUAACACUGACGCUCAGGCACGAAAGCGUGGGGAGCAAACAGGAUUAGAUACCCUGGUAGUCCACGCCCUAAACGAUGUCAACUAGUUGUCGGGAGCUUUAUGCUUUUGGUAACGCAGCUAACGCGUGAAGUUGACCGCCUGGGGAGUACGGUCGCAAGAUUAAAACUCRAAUGAAUUGACGG
rnacentral:rRNA from 1 species